CCCCCCCCCCCCCCCCCCCCCCCGGGGCAGGUCCAGGCCGCGUGAGGAGCCGCCCGCCCUGAGACAUGAUGUCACACGGAGCUCGUCCCUCCCUGCUUUGUCAGCCUCUGCUGGCCGGGUCACCCUUCGCUGGCCCCAGUCCCGCCUGCCUGAUUCUGCUCCCGGUGCUUGUGUGUACGGGGCUGUGUGCACACACACUGCAUGUGUGAGGCUGUCUGUGGGUGCUUGUGCACACGCGUGGGGGUGCGUGGCACACGUGGGCGUGCGAGGUUGCGUGUACAUCUGUGCCUGCGAGUGUGUGUGGUCGGCACGUGCAUGCACACGUGUACCUGUGCGUGUAUGCGUGUGCACAUGUAGGCACGUCUGUGGGAGCCCCUGAGGUCUGAGCCUGGUUCCUGUCUGUCUUUAGGCAGCUGGCACUCCCGUCCUCCACGGACCGUGCGGGGCCAGCACCAGGCCCGGCUGCAGAGCAAAGGCUCCCGGGGGGGGGGUGGGGGUAGGAUCUGGAGGGCACUGGCAGGGAGGUCCUGAGCUCCGGAGGCCCUCUGCAGACUCAGUCUCCACGUUUGUACAAACUCGUCCGUCCCCGAGGUCUGUGCCCAGAGCACAGCCACAGGCCCGAAGGUCAGGCCGACUUUGCCUCGGGGGGGUCAGCACCCCAGCCGGCGCCCCACCCCCCACCCUCUCUGAAGCAGCGCCCCCCACAGCGUCCUCCUCUGUCCUCCUCCACUUGGGCCCGGAGGCCCUCCUGGAGGCGGCUAAUGAGAGGUGUCAGCUGGGAGGCUCCUCUGGGGAACCUGCUGUCCUGAGCGAUUUCUAAACGGGAAAGUCUAACCUCACUGAGUCCUUUGAACGCGUCCGAGUGACGAGUGACGGAGCUGCAGAGGCAGCCCUCGGAGUCGCUGGGAGCCGGAGAGGAGAGGAGAUUGAUCUCCACUGGCCUCCUGAAUGUAGAGUUCUUAAGAAGCUGUUUGUCACGCGGCCCCGAAGGCGAGACAAAACGCUCUCGCAGACAGGCGUCCCACGUCUUCACCGCGGCCAAGUAUCGACGGUAUUGAUCAUGCGGCCCUGGGAUCCACCCCCCCCCCCCCCCGCCCAGGAAGUGAGACACUCGGGGCUUCAGGGGCCCCCUUCCCUCCCCCACCCGCACCCACUCCUCAGCGGGCCGGUCGGCGUCAUGGGGGGCACCGGGCAGCGGGGCCUGGCACGUGCUGGUCGCUCUGUGGACCCUCGGUGCCAGGAUGGGGGAACGAGAAACCAGGAGUCUGGGGGGGGGGGUCGGAGACAGGCUGUUGGAUUCUCAACGCUACGCCCCUGCUUGGUCAGCUGGCCUCGCCCUCGGGGAUUCCUCUCCCUGCCCCCCGGGGGCUCCCUGCAAGGCCUUGGGGACCCUGGAGACGGUGACAGCCCUCCCGGUGGGGGGGGGGUUCCAUGUUAUGCUCGGGAGGUGAGUGUGCACAGAACUUUGUGAAUUGCUUUCUUUCCUGUUUUAUGAACUAUUUCUCCGAAUGCCUGCACAGUACUCUCCUGAGGGACGGGGGAGAUAAAUAGCAAUUAAAGUCUUGUCAUCCGA